rnacentral:lncRNA from 1 species
CCCAAUCUUUAUAUGAAACAUCUUCUUUACCCACAAGUCCCAGGAAACUUUCCAUAUCAUUUUCUACAUUCUUCACUUUCCCCACCAUUUUCUCUGAUUUUUCUGGUAUGCUAGGCUUCUUGGUAAGAAAUUUUGGCUUUCCUCUUAAUUUAACUGUGGGCUCUAGAGUAUAGCGAUGAUCAUCAAGAGCCUUGAACAUGGGUCCACUAGCAGAUUGGGGCAGCACAACUGUUGGAUUGAUGGGCAAUGUGGAAGCCUCAGUAGAAGGUUGAGCAAUAAAAGCACAGACGGUAUGUGGUGCUAUGAAUGUGGUAGGCUUAUACUGAGGAGCUAAAGAAUGAGAGGCGGAAGCAUUCGGGUGUAUUUGACAUGAAAUGGAUUCUACGGCAUGCUAUGAUGUAUCAACAACAG